UUAACCAACUGAGCCACCCAGGCACCCAGGAAACUUAAUUUCUUAGUGUGUGGUGUGCAUAGUGAACGUCUGUGGUCCAGGGUAGGUGACUGCCCAGCCAGGGAGGAGGGGGCAGCAAGGGUUUGUGUUUUUUGUUUUCGAAUAAUGAUUAUUGUUUUGGCCAGCUGUCAGGGUAACGCACCAUGAGGGGAAGUUUGUCUCCUACUUAUUAAACUUUUGUCCAAUCACUGACAUCUCUCUAACUCCUGGACCCGCCACUUUCCUUGGCGAUGAGGGUGCAGUUGUGGAAAGCGGCCCCUCACCCCAGCCUUGUGCUGUGCCUGAAAAAGAGACUAUGCGGAUAAUCUCAGGAGCAGAAGUGAGAUUGUUGCCUUCAGACAGAUUUUUUCCCUGGUAUUUUGGCAUGCGACUCCUGCCUCACACAGCCACUUGAGAGGAAAAUGGUCCUGAAGCCUUGACUUGAGAAGCGUGGCGUGGAGCGGUGUCACUGGCUUUCAGGAUAACAAAGCUGUUUUCCAAAUGUCCAUCUGCAUCUCGACUUUCACUUCCUGCACACCAAUUUCAGCAUCUUCCCUGGAGAAGAAUGACAGAGGAGUCUGUGGACAGGUAGCAGGGUGAGGGAGCAUGAACGGCCUUGAAUGUGCCCCUGGGCUUAUUUAGCCAUUCGCUUUUCAUUAGGAGAAAGAAGACGGCCAUCCGCUUGAGAGGCAAGCUCCAGUGACCGAAGAGCUAUAGAUCUUCUGAAUUUCGAGAGCAGUGAAGUAGGAGCAUAGCAGAGAGUGUAUGAAAGACA